GUCCCCGGCGUCCGGGCGCCCUGCAUGGAUCCCCCACCCCAGCUCCUGCUCCCCGGCGGCGGCCGGUGGGCAGAAAGACCGAAACCCACUCACGGCCGCCUGCCGAAUCGCGGCUCUGCUGUUUGUGGGGCGUGCUAGAAACGUGGUCCUAAAAAGAAUGGCGUCCAUUUACAUAAUGCUUUGUUUGCGUUUCGCAAGUUUCUUUCGGUUAAAGCCACAGAAACCCCACCUCCUGCCCUUGUGUCGUUUCCACCGCGGCACCCUUUUCCGACAUUAGAAACAAUAGUGUACGCCUGUGGAGGCCUCGUUUGUUCAGGGGCUGCCGGCCAGGGCUUCAGGACGUUUCUGCGGCUUUCCCCGCGCGGCCUGGGCUCCCGCGGCUGCUUUUCGGGCCCAUGGGCGCAGCCACUGCGCCAGGCUCAAGGGGGGCGGCCCCGUCAGGGCCCGCCAUCUUGGAAGGCCUUUUUUGCCGGUUCUUCCCGCUGAGGAAGUGUCGCUCAAGACGCUGGCCUAUGAGUUGUGAUUUCUGCCUUUUCCCCUUCCUCCUUGGGCUAAGCCAGACCAGAAAGGGCCCCGUGCGCAACGUGCUUCACAAUCUCUCAGGGAAAGCGGCUAACGUGGCGCUACUCCGCCUCCCCUGUUCCUUACCCUUGGGGCGGCCGCCAUGUUUCCUGAACACAAAAUGGCGACACGUGGUUAGCAUUCGUCGCCAACGAGAAAUUGGGGUCGGCCCGAAAGCUCUAGAAUGCACCCCUCUUCCUCCCCGGGGCCUUCCACCUCCGCGAGUUUUAUGACUUAAAAAAGCCCACAGGCUGGUCUGAAGGUCGGAGGCCUAAUUUUAACGCGUUUUCCUCCCUUUAAUUUGAAACGGGAACGCGAAUGACUGUAAAAUGUGGGCACAAUAUUUAAUCUCUCGCCUUUUUAAAGCUUAAUAGUGGAUAAUAGGGGGGCAGUAUCAAGGGAUAAUUUGGGUCCCCACAGUACCAAAGCAUUUAGAAACCUCUGUUUAAUUUAAGGAAUGAGAUAAGUUACUGCUUUUCUAGACUUCCUAGCAUGGGCUGUUGUGCUGGAGAGAACGAGAGCUACGAAGAGACUACAGUGCCUCUGACUUUUUCAUAGGACAGUUGGCCGGUGAAUCUUAUUAAUAGUUUACCACAAUUAAGUGUUCAUUUUUAGUCUAGAAGGGACAGGCGUUUAUUGUGCAUUGGCCAGUGCCAGCACAUCCGAUGCAAGGCAGUUCACCGUAUUCUAUCUUUAAUUUUUACCAUGGUCCUCUGAGGUAGGUGUUCUUAUCUCUCUCUCUCUCUCUCUCUUUUAAACAGAGGAAGACAAACAUAAAGAUGAAGUGCUUAAUUCAAGGUCACACAAUGUCGGGGAUGGACCUCCAGAUUUCCUUACUGACCUGCAUUAUCUUGUGGAUACCUGAGUGAAUUCCACACCACCCAUUUUAUAGAUGAAACCACUGAGACAUGGAGCAAUUGACUGAGUAGUCACUGCCCCACCCCUGCCUGGAGCCUCACACAUGACUCGCCUCCUCUCAGUGACCACAGGAAAACAAGCUCAGGGCUCCCACUGAUUGUACAUUAUGGUGAGACGUGGUCUUGUAACACAGUGGUUAAGAAUGUGACUUUGGAGCCAGCCUGCUAGGGGCUGAAUUCUGACUCAGCCAUUUACUAACUGUGUGACCUUAGGUCACAGAAUUUUCCACACUCCUUGACAGAGGUGCUUAACCCUUAUCCAUCAGCAUUCUCAGACAGCACCUCCGGUUAGGGACAGUAUCUGACCGUCCGACAUCCCUGCAGCCCCCAUGUGUCACACAGACUCAGCCUCAGGCCACGUUUGAGGAGGCUGGCUGGGGUCCCAUCUGAGAUGAGUGCCGGUGUGGUGCGGAGUUCCCUGCCAAAGGAGGGUCUACACAGUCUCAAGAUGGCCUCUCUGCCAGGGUACACCUCAGAAGGGAUCUUAGAGGCUGCGUAUGAAGGUGGCCCGAGGGCGCCUAAUGUCCCUUCCCAAGAAGUUGAUGAUUACCAUGGAUGAGGAGUCAGUAGGAGAGAAAGUGUCCUUGUCCAGGCAGCUGGGAGGAGUGGUUAAAAGGGAGGCCAGGUGUGGUGGCUCACACCUGUAAUCCCUGCACUUUGGGAGGCCAAGGCAGGGAGAUGGCUUGAGUCCAGGACUUAGAGACCAGCCUGGGCAACAUAGUAAGACCUCAUCUCCACAAAACAUUUUUUAAAAAAUUAGCGAAGUGUGGCAGGAGGCUCAGGUGGGAGGAUCACAUGAGCCCUAGAUGUCGAGGCUACAGUAAGCCCUGAUCACACAACUGCACUCCAGCCUGGGCCGCAGAGUGAGACCCUGUCUACAUAAAUGAACAGGCUGGGCACAGUGGCUCAUGCCUGUAAUCCAAGCACUUUGGGAGGCUGAGGUGGGAGGAUCAUUUGAGGUCAGGAGUUCGAGACCAGCCUGGCCAACAUGCUGAAACCCUAUCUCUAAUAUAAAUACAAAUAUUAGCCGGACAUGGUGGCGGGGGCCUGUAAUCCCAGCUACUCGGGAGGCUGAGGAAUGAGAAUCGCAUGAACCCAGGAGGUGGAGGUUGCAGUGAGCCAAGAUCUCGCCAUUGUACUCCAACCUGGACAAUAGAGUGAGACUCUGUUUCAAAAAAAUAAAAUAAAAUAAAAAUACAUAAACAAACAAAAAUAAAAAGGGCAAACCAAGGCA
rnacentral:lncRNA from 1 species